ACCUACGGGACGCAGCAGUGAGGAAUAUUGGUCAAUGGGCUUACGCCUGAACCAGCCAAGUCGCGUGAGGGAAGACUGCCCUAUGGGUUGUAAACCUCUUUUGUCAGGGAGCAACGCCGGCUACGUGUAGCCGGACUGAGAGUACCUGAAGAAAAAGCAUCGGCUAACUCCGUGCCAGCAGCCGCGGUAAUACGGAGGAUGCGAGCGUUAUCCGGAUUUAUUGGGUUUAAAGGGUGCGUAGGCGGAAUGCCAAGUCAGCGGUAAAAUCGCGGGGCUCAACCUCGAUCCGCCGGUGAAACUGGCGG
rnacentral:rRNA from 1 species